rfam:Oryza glumipatula chromosome 3, whole genome shotgun sequence.
UAUAAGUGCAAUCAUGAGUUUUCGUGUCUAAUUUUGAUCGUCUGUCUUAUUAAAAUUUUUUUUAUAAUUAGUAUUUUUGUUGUUAUGAGAUGAUAAAACAUGAAUAAUACUUUAUGCGCGACUUAUGUUUUUAAUUUUUUUUUCAAAAUUUUUUUAAAUAAGACGGACGAUCAAAGUUGGGUAUGGAAAAUUGUGGCUACACUUAAA